UGGGUCCUGCCAGCUCGUCCCUGCAACCCCCCACUCCCGUCCCCUCAAACCUGUUCAUGGCUUGCAGCCCUGUGAUACCUUGCCACAUUCUGUGACAGAAUCCGAGAUCCAGGUAGAAGGGGGGAAGUACAUGGUGGCUGUCGGGGCAGCUUUCUGUAAAAUGCUGCCUGGAGAAGCACGUGAUUCCAGACCUUCCUCUCUGCAAUAAAAGUGAGGUUGACACCUACAGAUAUGAUUGUAACAGGAUUUUUAGCUCAGGAUGUGCCUCUGUGAUCACCUGCAACCUCCAUGUGAAAGCAUCAGCCAGGGGCUCAAGAACUUCCCUCUGGAGCCUCACACUCCCAGCGUGGCACCUGGCAGGGAACAGAUUCUCUCCAAACCUUUGUCAAUGAAUUAAGGACGACGUCACUAGAAUCCAUCCCUCUUUUAUUUUUUAUUUUUAUUUUUUGAGACAGAGUCUCGCUCUGUCGCCGAGGCUGGAGUGCAGUGGCACAAUCGCAGCUCACUGCAAGCUCUGCCUCCCCGGUUCAAGUGAUUCUCCUGCCUCAGCCUCCCGAGUAGCUGGGACUACAGGCACCCAUCACCACACCCGGCUAAUUUUUAUGUGUGAUUUAGUACAGACAGGGUUUCAGCAUGUUGGCCAGACUGCUCUUGAACUCCUGACCUCAGGUGAUCCGCCUGCCUCGGCCUCCCAAAGCGUUGGGAUUACAGGCGUGAGCCACCACUCCUAGCCCCAUCCCCAUUUUAUAGACAAGGAUACCAAGGCUCAGAGAGGGGAAGCUACUUGCCAAGGACACACAGGAGACCAGUGGGCAGGACCUCUGGUUUGUCCGGGAGGCCACUGGGCCUCUUCCCAGAGUCUUCAGCCUCUGCUUGGUGUUCCAAGAUUUUACACCCGCCGUGGGCCCAGUGGGCUGAGAGGACACGGGCUGGGGUGUCGGAAGCUGCAGAGCUGAUCCCUCCUGCUUGGCUGGAGGCUUGCAGACCCGGCAGGCAGGCUCGGGAGGCAGCGGGCGACCUGAAAAAGCACUCACUACCACAGGCUCAAGAGUGACAGCGCCUGUCAGGGACCGGGAGGCAAGGCUUUUCUUUUCUUGCUGUUUUAUUGCCUUCAAAGUCUGGACCAAGUGGUUUCCGGAUGGAGUCACAGUAACCUCACAUCUAUUCAAGCAAUUCGUUCAUUCCUGCAUUUAGUAAAAUACUCACAAAACAAGGAAGAACAUCUUGGCGGUGCCGCUGAUCCCCCCAUUUGUCUGCAAAUUAGAAAAGCGUGAUUCCAUUGAUCUCCUGUUUAUCGAGCGCCUACUACAUGCUAGGUCGGAUGGUCUGGUUCAACCCCCACAACCCCACAGCUGCUGUCUGUUUCGUAUCUUGUGUUUUCCACUUGACCGUUUAUCGUGUGCAUUUUCUCGUGUACCAAAGGCGCUUGUGAGAGAUGGUGUCUGGGGAAUGGGUAUCUCAGGGGUCUACCGCCUGGCUUACCUCUUCCCAAAUCAGGGUUCCUCUGCAUCACCUCCUCUCUGUCCAGCUCCUCCUUCAGGGCCUAGCUCAAUUCUACCUCCUCCACAAAGCCCUCCAUUCCCUCCCCUCCUGGCCAGUGUUGUCUCCUGUGCAGCCACUAGCUCUCUGCCUGGCCUCACCCGGGUCUCCUAUCCCUCCUCUCUCGUGGAGCGAUGCCUUUUCUCUUCCUCUAUACACAUCAGGUCUGAGCUCAAAGUCACCUUGUCAAAGGCCCUCCCAGGACCACCCUGUGUGAUUAUCCUGUGGAUUUGUUCCUGCGUUUGUCCCUGAGCCCAUAGAGUCUGCUCGUUUGGUAGAAGGACUCCUGCAGAAGGUGCUGGAUAAACACUGGAAGAUCUAGCAAUAAAAAUAAAAGAAAGAC